UCUUCACAGUUCAGGCGCUAAUGAUUUUUGCCACCAAACACUUAUGUUCACACCAUUUUUAAAGCAGUUUUAAAUCCUUGGGCAAUUGGUCAAAUGCUUCUUCUGGCUAUUUUCUUGUUCUGAAAGUCAGAAGUUUGAAGAGGGUUUUAGGGAUUCGAAUUAAGGUGUCAGCAGACCUGUGCUUCUCUGGAAGGCUCUACGGGAGAGAUUUACCUUCUCCAGCUUCCAGUGGCUGGCUGCCCACACACCUUGGCUCGUGGCCACCUCCUCACGUCAGUCCAGCCUCUGCCACCAUCGUCAACUCUCCCACUAUGACUGAGACCUUCUGCCUGUCUCAGCACAUGAGUUUCAGGCUCUCUACCGUUCAUGCCCAUGACACCAGGAGCAGCACCCUGGAGCAGACACAGCCAGACCACAAACCCAGCUCAAGGUUAAUCACUGCUGCCCGUCAAUGUGAUUAUCUCCCUCUGCAUGGCAGUGCCAUUUUCCCACUGUGGGACCAGAG
rnacentral:lncRNA from 1 species